rfam:Schistocephalus solidus strain NST_G2 genome assembly, scaffold: SSLN_contig0000744
GGGCACGUGGCGCAAUGGAUAACACGUCUGACUAUGGAUCAGAAGAUUCCAGGUUCGAAUCCUGGCAUGCUCA